UUCUUUGCGCUUGGGGCAAUGACGCAGUUAGUGAGGUGAAACCGAGACGCGUCAAUUGCUGGUUGAAAACUAUUUCCAUUUCCGGAUCAAAGAGUUCGAACUUCCUACAUUGAGCUGUGGCAAGGGAGCAUUUUU
rnacentral:snRNA from 1 species